rnacentral:rRNA from 1 species
AGUGAACGCUGGCGGUAGGCCUAACACAUGCAAGUCGAACGGCAGCACAGUAAGAGCUUGCUCUUACGGGUGGCGAGUGGCGGACGGGUGACGAAUACAUCGGAAUCUACUUUUUCGUGGGGGAUAACGUAGGGAAACUUACGCUAAUACCGCAUACGACCUACGGGUGAAAGCAGGGGAUAUUCGGACCUUGCGCGAUUGAAUGAGCCGAUGUCGGAUUAGCUAGUUGGCGGGGUAAAGGCCCACCAAGGCGACGAUCCGUAGCUGGUCUGAGAGGAUGGUAGGCCACACUGGAACUGAGACACGGUCCAGACUCCUACGGGAGGCAGCAGUGGGGAAUAUUGGACAAUGGGCGCAAGCCUGACCCAGCCAUACCGCGUGUGUGAAGAAGGCCUUCGGGUUGUAAAGCCCUUUUGUUGGGAAAGAAAAGCAGCAGGUUAAUACCCCGCUGUUCUGACGGUACCCAAAGAAUAAGCACCGGCUAACUUCGUG